rnacentral:rRNA from 1 species
AUACGGAGGGUGCAAGCGUUACUCGGAAUCACUGGGCGUAAAGCGCGCGCAGGCGGCUUGAUAAGUUGGAUGUGAAAGCCUACGGCUCAACCGUAGAACUGCAUCCAAAACUGUCAAGCUAGAGUCUGUGAGGGGAAGAUGGAAUUAGUUGUGUAGGGGUAAAAUCCGUAGAGAUAACUAGGAAUACCAAAAGCGAAGGCGAUCUUCUGGAACAGUACUGACGCUGAGGCGCGAAAGCGUGGGGAGCAAACAGCAUUAGAUACCCCGGUAGUCC